AUUGAACGCUAGCGGCAGGCCUAACACAUGCAAGUCGAACGAGUGGCGGACGGGUGAGUAAUGUCUGGGAAACUGCCUGAUGGAGGGGGAUAACUACUGGAAACGGUAGCUAAUACCGCAUACCAUAGGAUGUGCCCAGAUGGGAUUAGCUAGUAGGUGGGGUAAAGGCUCACCUAGUCGACUAUCCCUAGCUGGUCUGAGAGGAUGACCGGCCACACUGGAACGUGGACACGGUCCAGUGACCGACGGGAGGCAUCCGUGGGGAAGAUUGCGCAAUGGGCGUAAACCUGAUGCAGCCAUGCCGCGUGUAUGAAGAAGGCCUUCGGGUUGUAAAGGACAUUCAGCAGGGAGGCGUUACCCGCAGAAGAAGCACCGGCUAACUCCGUGCCAGCCGCCGCGGUAAUUC
rnacentral:rRNA from 1 species